UACAGAGGUCCCAAGCGUUGUUCGGAUUCACUGGGCGUAAAGGGUGCGUAGGCGGUCGGGUAAGUCUGAUGUGAAAUCUCUGAGCUUAACUCAGAAAUGGCAUUGGAUACUAUUCGGCUAGAGGAGUGGAGGGGGGACUGGAAUUCUCGGUGUAGCAGUGAAAUGCGUAGAUAUCGAGAGGAACACCAGUGGCGAAGGCGAGUCCCUGGACAUUUCCUGACGCUGAGGCACGAAAGCUAGGGGAG
rnacentral:rRNA from 1 species